ACCACAUGCAUAUCCACCUCCUCCUGCACAAUAUCCUCCACAGCAAUAUCCUCCACCAUAUCCACCAUAUCCAUCAUAUCCACCCCAGUGAGGAAGGACAAGCUUGGGGGAGAUCCUCUCCCCCACCAAGGUAAGUAUUCUAUCCUAUUUAUUUCCAUGCAUUUUAUCAUUCUUGCUCUAAAAAAAAAAUUAGCAUUUCCCUUUAGCAUAUAUGCUUCAUGUAUGUCUAUAUCCCUCAUGGAAAUGAUGACUAGUUGCUUGUUAAUGUUUCUCUAGUACCUAGUAUACAACUUAGUAUUUCUCCAAGUAUGGAUCACUUAGCUCACUUAAACUGCCAUGAACCUGAAAACUUUGUGGGUUGCAAGUGCUAGAACUAAGUCUAAGUUGUUGUGGGACAUGAGAUAGUGAGACAAGAGCUGCUAUAAUAUUAUUCUAAGCAUGCAUGAUUAUCAGAGAUUUAUUCUUAAAAUGAUCAAAACCUUAAUUGUUCCUCAAUGGUGAUGAAUUCCUACCACAGCUAUAUCUACUUUACAUGAUUGCAACCUUUCCACAUAAGCUAUUUGCUUUGUGUUGAGUGUCGCCAAGUCUUGUUGACCCCUAUUAAGAGACUUUUCAUGCUCCUAAGAUCAAGAUCACGUACACACCACAUAUAUAUAUGCUGCUUCUACACUGGAAGUACGCAACCACAUGUAUUUCGCAUCCACUAAAUAGGUUGCUCCAUACUCUAAAUGUUAGAAUAUCUCUCUCUAAGCAUUAUUUGGUAAAUGAGACAUCAAAAGCCUAGGCAAAAUGAAAUAAAAAGAUGGACAUGUGCAAGUCCACAAAAAAAAAUGAGCACAUAAAGCUCGAAGAAAAAGAAAAUGCUAGCC
rnacentral:lncRNA from 1 species